GACGAACGCUGGCGGCGUGCUUAACACAUGCAAGUCGAACGGAAAGGCCCUGCUUUUGUGGGGUGCUCGAGUGGCGAACGGGUGAGUAACACGUGAGUAACCUGCCCUUGACUUUGGGAUAACUUCAGGAAACUGGGGCUAAUACCGGAUAGGAGCUCCUGCUGCAUGGUGGGGGUUGGAAAGUUUCGGCGGUUGGGGAUGGACUCGCGGCUUAUCAGCUUGUUGGUGGGGUAGUGGCUUACCAAGGCUUUGACGGGUAGCCGGCCUGAGAGGGUGACCGGCCCCAUUGGGGCUGGGGUACGGCCCAGGCUCCUUCGGGGGGCAGCAGUGGGGAAUAUUGCACAAUGGGCGGGAGCCUGAUGCAGCAACCCCGCGUGCGGGAUGACGGCCUUCGGGUUGUAAACCGCUUUCGCCUGUGACGAAGCGUGAGUGACGGUAAUGGGUAAAGAAGCACCGGCUAACUACGUG
rnacentral:rRNA from 1 species